rnacentral:lncRNA from 1 species
UAAAAUAAAAUAAAUAUUAAGAACACUUAAUCUAUUAUAUAUACUAAAUGACAAUACAUAACAUAAUAGUUUAACAUCUGUCAAUCUACAAUUUUAAUACCUAUCCAUCUUAUUUACUGCUCUAUAUUGGCCUUGACAAAAAUACCCUUCACAUAGCCGGGCGCGAAACAAAAGAUGGAUGGCAGCGUCGAUUUUCCCCCAUUUUUUUCUGUUACUGGAGCUGCAAUCUUCGAAAGAAAAACCGAUUAGGGCAGUCGACGGCCGGAAUCGGAGGUAGCCGUCGAUACGAGAGGAUCUAAACCCAAAGUCGUCGAUAUGAGAGGAUCCAAAGCCUGAGAACAUAUUGUUUUUCCAAACCCAAAGCCGGCGGAAAUCAAAACAUAUUGUUUGAUCGGUAUGCAAAGUCUCUCUCAGACACACAUACAUACAUAUAUUGCAUCCCUGAAAAUGGUUUCGAAGAUUGCAUUAAUUUGUUUUUGCUAUUUGGAUUUUGUUAACAUUUCUAAAUUCUGGGGUUUUGCUAUUUGGGUUUUGUUCUGGCAUCGAUUUUUAUUGCUUGGACUUUUACUUUCUUCUUAAACGUUGUUGCUAUUGGAUAAUAUGGAUUUUAUUUCAUUGUUGCCAGUAUGUAUUAAUAUUUCAUUCUUUUUAUCACAUUCAGGAAGAAGAAUCGUAUAUGCUAACUCUUUUGAUUGAUUUGAAGAUAAUUGCAUUUCAUAUUUUUUGUUCAGACCGGAAUGGAUGAAUUAAAUUUAUAUAUGUGUAAUAUUAAUUCAAUUGUGAUUCUAUCGUUUAUUCUUUCAUUUCUUUUGUGUUUUCUGCCCCUGGUAUGUAGAAUGUCUACUGCUUGACGUUUGCAGCUGUGAAAUAUUAAGUUUCUACUUUGAAGUUUAUCAACAACUAAAAGUGUACUUGAAGCUUAUCUUUUUUUUCGUUGUUAGACAAUUUAUUUACUAAGCAUGAAUUUCUUUACACAUUCUUCUAUUCUAAUAUGGCAAUUUAGAGGUAGGUGGGUGGAUGAAGAUGAUCAUCUUUUAAGAUGAUCUUAAUCUGAUAUGGCAAUUUAGUGAUUGAUUUAAUCGAAUGAGUGUUUUAGGCUCAUUUUACUUUGAGGCUAGCUUAUCUUUUUUUUCGUUGUCAGACAAUUUCUUUACUAAGCAUGAAUUUCGUUACACAUUCUUCUAUUCUAAUAUGGCAAUUUAGAGGUAGGUGGGUGGAUGAAGAUGAUCAUCUUUUAGGAUGAUCUUAAUCUGAUAUGGCAAUUUAGUGAUUGAUUUAAUCGAAUGAGUGUUUUAGGCUCAUUUUACUCUGAGGCUACUUUAUUGUGAUUUACCUUAUUUUGUUUAAGUUAUUUUUAUCCAUCAUUUUUUGCAUUGUUGAUGUAUAUGAAAAUCUAUUAUACCAAAUAUUAAUCUGUUAAUGGAUUUGCUAAUGUUUUACAUUCUUUUCAUCGGAAGCAGACCUUAUGGCAAUUUGUUUGAUAUUUUUGCUAGAAUUUGAAAAUGAUAUCUCGAGUGAAACAUGAUCAAAUUUGGAAGAAUUCAUUCUUAUAAAGGGAUGAGACACUCUGUAAGCUUAAAGUAAAAUCAGUUAUGAGACUAGCUUCAAUGAAAACUGAAUGAUUGCAGAAUUUAUUAUUAGUAAACAUCAAACAUUUUGAAACACAUAUAUAUCUCUUCUAAGUGAGCGAUUCACCAAUAUAUUAAUACAUCUCACUUGAUACCUCUAGCACUGCGAAAAUCACAUUUUUAACUUCUAGCCUUAACAGUUGUGAUCCAAAUAUUACUCAAAUACUUUAUGGACUCCUUAAAUUAGGCUUAAUAGUGUUGGCAACUGUUUUGUGAUGUAUUGUGGUUUGGAAUCUCAUUUAUAGAAGAAAAUAUAUCAUAUAAUCCUUAUGUUAGAACUCACUACAAUAUACGUAUUCUGCGUUAAAAAAUUAGUUCAUUUUGAACUGGUGAUGAAAUUAAAUCAGGUGUGCUGAAUAGGUGGUGCAAUAACCCUAUAUGUCUGGUAAGUUUAGUGUGAUGAAAGUUUACUGGGAAAUUUUCAUGUUGUAUGGGGAAAGUUUACAGAAUCCAACAUGCAACAUAUAAGAAUUGAUAUUUCUUAUUAAAAUGAUACUUGACUGUAGACAAGGAUUCUGCUGCCAAGGGACCAAAGAUUGUAGAAACAUGGAAGAGUCCUGAUGUUUGUUCAAAUGCUUGAAGCGGUAUACAUGGUAAGGAAUUUGGUUGGCCCCAGUUUGUUACUUGGCCACAUUCACUUUUGCCUCCACAUUUGCUAAAUAAUUGAAUAACUGUUAUUUUUGCAGAUGCAUCAUUUCUAUAACAUUGCUCUUUAUUUUACUUGCUAUGAGGUUGAUAUUUAUGUUAAGGCUCAUUAUGGUUGUAUUCCUACCAGGUUCCAACAUUUUAAAUAAAAAAAUUGGUUCGUAGUUGAUAGAAAACUGCUAUGUUUAUUUAUAAAACUAAGAUGCAUCUAUGUUUUGAGUGGGUCUUUCCGAUCACUAUGUAGUGUCUUUGUUCAGAACUUGGUUACUAUCAUCAUUUUGUUCUGUCUUUUCAUUGACUUAUAUAUGAAACUGUUUUGCAACUUUAAGGAAAUUUGGUGGGAAUAACAGUGUCAUCCUUUGCUUUUAAUAUAUUUAUUACAUACUUUUGGCUCUAUGCUCGCAGAUCAUCAUUUAUGGUCAAAAAAAUGUUUUGUAGUCUCCUGUUUGAUGUAUGGUUUUUUGUGAGUUAGCAGCAGUUUUAUUUGUGCUCCAUAAAACAUAAUAUAUAAAAGUACACAUUGAGUAAAAAGAGUAUAAGAUCGCAAUAGAACCCUAUUUUAUGUUUUUACUAUAUUUAGAAAAUGUAUAUUCAAUAUUCACCUCCCCAAUUACUAAAAACCCAUUUAACUGGCAUGAUUUCUAAUCAUUUCCAAUUUGCUUGAGUAAAAUCUAAAAGCAUCUGUUUUUUCAUUCUAAUUAGGAAGGUUGGAAGAUUCUGCCAAAAUGUAUGGCGAGGUUUUCGUGAAUGGGACAAAGUCUCGCCUACCAUACGGUCCUAUGUAAGUUCUAAACAUGCCACAUGUUUGUUGUCAUCAUAUUAAUAUCUAUUUAUGUUGUUUUUUUAUGUGAUUUCUAUUUAGGCUUUUCCAUGUUAGUAGGUGUAGAUGUUUGGCAAGGAAAUUCCAACCCUUGAAAUUAUCCCAUUUGAAGAAUGCCUAUUCAUUCAAAAAUUCACAAACUCAGUAUUUCUCUUAAUGUAAUGCUCUGCCUUUAUGUGCCUGCCUCCUGAGACCCUCAAGUUGUUUGUGUUUGAUAACUUUUGAACAUUUAAUCAUUGACCUAAACUUGGUUAUUAGCUGAACAAUAUAAAAAUUUACAGGAAUAAUUGAAUAACCUUUUCAAUAAAUUGUACAAUGUGAACUCCAUAUUUUCUGAAUUGCACUGUUUGUCAAUGGCUCCCUUAUAUAACCCAGAACUGCUGUGCUUUCUUUCUUUUUUAUUCCUUAAGAAAAGAUUGCAGAGUGGGCUCAAAUCACUGUAUGAUCUGUGUACAGAAGUACACGUGAUAAGUUUUUUCUUCCAAAAAUGAGUAUGUGCAAAUAUUCAAGACCCUCCAUGUUAUAGAAACCUUCCUAAUGCCUCUUACUGAUAGAUUGAGAAGAAAUACAUAAUAUACAAUGUAGGUUUCUGUGUUACGUUAUUGUUUAGGUUUAAGUGUUGCGUUCUGAUAGUCAAAAUCUUCAACCGAGCAAUCAUUCCAUGGCUGGCAUUAGACAACAUGAAAUGAAUAUGAUGCAGGCCAUGUAUAAUACAAGAGUUUUACUCUUUGUAUGCAAUUUAUUCAUGUUAGGUAGAUAACAUGAAAUCCCAGACCUGCCUUGAGAAACAUAACAAUUUUUGUUUAAAACCCAUAACCACCCCCCGGUGCUAACACUCUGCUUCUAAGCUAAUAUACUAUAUAUUUCUAUAGGACCAGGAGGGCAUUCAAAUGUGAAAUGUAAAUUUGAUUAUUUUGUCCGUCUCUUUUUGUGCUACCUGUUACAUACGUUUUCAUGUUUGGAAAAAAGUGAUGUUUGGUGGAUAGUUUAUCAGAUCUCCAACAAUCAUGCCAUUUUCUUCUUUCCCUUCCCAAAAGCACUUGCCUAUUAGAAAUGUAUAACAAGUACAUUAGCAUCGAUGCUUUUUCAUGGGCCAGGGUUAUUUUUUAUUGUCCUGUAUACUUGGUGGUGUGUACCUUGAUUCUUGGUUUCUUUUAGUGAAGUUUUCUGUUUGAAAAUUGAAAGGAAAAACCAUUUGUGACACACAAACAAACACACACACACGUGUGCGCGAGAACAUUUAAUCUUUUAACAUUUUGCUUCAACUCAGGUUGGUAUCAAUGUACCUAUUCCAGUUCCUCUACCUUUUUUCUCAUUUACUGGUUCCAAGGCAUCUUUUGAUGAGAUAUUGUUAGUCGCUUAUUCUUCAAAUUGGCUACAUUUAUAGGUACUAGAUUGUUUGCUAAUUAUGAUUUUGGAAUUGCUACGCAGGCUCCAGUUAGUGACAGAAAUGAUGGGGCGAAGAAAAUUAAAAAAGGAGAUGGGGAUGAGGAUGUUGACAUUGGUGAUGAGAUGCCAGAAAGUACCUUCCCACCAGUUGAAAUUGAGAAAUAUGAUGGUGGGCAUGGUCGUGAUAAUGGGACUAAGAAUGGUAUCGCCAGUAUUACGUUCCGCAGUUCAGGCAGUUCGAGGUUGUGUAGCAUUACUGGUAGUGACAGUGAUUGGUGCUUUAAAGGCGAUGCUAUGAUUUUUUUCCUGAAUUCAGUUGUGUUUUCUUUUUAUUCUCAAAUGAAAAAUAUUUGUAUGAUUUUAAGUUUAUUUUUCCAUUUUUUAUGGAUACAGAAAUUGAUUAAAAUCUCAUAUGAAUAUGAUAUCGGGCUUGUGUAGGUUAUUAUGUUUCCAGCAUUUUUUACUUUGUUCGUGGUAAUGUUUGACAAGGCUUAGUAAUUACUGGCGGCGUCCUUUGGACAGAAUCCACACUGGUACAUCACGAUGGUUAUGUAGAUUUCAAUUGACUUAAGUUAUUUGCCUACCACAAUCCGGUAUCUUUGUAAACAUUAGUAUGUUUAAUCAAUCCAAC